CGUUCAGCAGUACGCGCUGAUUUGUAACAAUCAAACGUGAUUGGUUCUUUUUCUAGAACAAAACAAAUCAAUGUUGAGUAAUGACAAGAUAACAUGUCGGCAUUUGUUCUGCUAAACGAAAGAAAUAAGUGACAAUGUGUGCAAAGUUUCAAUUUUUUAGUUUUCACUCAAGCAACGAAAGUUCUUCUGUAUCACAUGCAUACAUGUAGAAAAGAGAACACAUAAGUCAAGUGCAUUCUACCAAUAGUACUAACAAUAAGAGAAAUCACGCAUUGAGUGUGGAAUCCGAUUUUUGUCGACUCCAGUGUGAUGAAAAUACAUAAUUUUUAAUCAACACUUACGUACAUUAUAUAUUUUUUCUUUUUUAUGUAUACAAAUGGAAAUAUUGCGGAAGAUGUUCGGAAAAUCAUAAGCUUCAUGAGAAAACUCAUUGGCGAUCUGGAACACAAAAUGGGCGGACAGACGCGAGUGUUUCUUGAUGGAGAUAGCAAGAAUUGCAAACGGCGCAAAUGCAAUAUGGGAAAUUUGAUCUGUGAUGCUCUAAGUGAUUAUAUAAGAUUUUUUCAGGCGGCGAAAUACGUUUACAUCAUAAUAUGUGUUUAUUAUUUCACGGGGACGACUGACUUGUAGUCAUAGACCACCUUUCGAACAAGCCAGAUUGCAGAUAUUUGUUGGCAAUACGUUNUUCAACUUAUACGGCGAUAACACGUAUAAAGUGGUGUUUAUAAUUGUAAGAGAUAGAAAUAUUAUCUUAAAUAUGGUAAGUUAUGGAAGGCUCGUAUGUGUUGAAUAUUUAUAUUUGUUGUAAACUAUAAUUUUUAUUUCUCAUCACACGCUAAAACAAUAUGGAAUCCGAUUUUCUUCUUUAUAUUUAAAAAAUUUAUAUCUACUUUAGUUUAUCACUUAAUGUACAAAUCGUACUACUCGGUAAUAUACUCUAUAUACAAAUAUUACAUAAAUAUUACUACGAUCUAAAAAUAUCGUUUUUACUUUGCCGUAACUUACACUGUGUGACAUACUAUAUAAUUGAAACGCGCUUGUAAAAUGUAGGCAAAUUUAAUCUUCAAUCGUCUUUCUACAAGUCAAAGUGAGAAAAACAGCGCAAUCAUGACAACUUACGUGAAUGUAUGUGUGUGCGUAUGUGAUAAACAUAAAGACGUAGCAACUUAGUGAUAAACAUAUCUUUUAACGGUCAUACACAAUUGUUUUUGACGAGUAUAUCUAAAAACAAGUAAUAUUUAUUGUGUAUAAAUCGGAAUCAUGUGUUGUUGUUUAUUUGCGAAAAUCACUUCUUGUUUAUAACAAAAUAAAUUAUAUAGAUUCACAGUA